rnacentral:rRNA from 1 species
GUGGGGAAUAUUCCGCAAUGGACGAAAGUCUGACGGAGCGACGCCGCGUGAGUGAUGAAGGCCUUCGGGUCGUAAAGCUCUGUCAUCGGGGACGAACGGCCUCAGCAGGUAAUGGCUGGGGAUUGACGGUACCCGAGAAGGAAGCCACGGCUAACUACGUGCCAGCAGCCGCGGUAAUACGUAGGUGGCAAGCGUUGUCCGGAAUUAUUGGGCGUAAAGCGCGCGCAGGUGGGAUCUUAAGUCCAUUUUGAAAGUUCGGAGCUCAACUCCGUGAUGGGAUGGAAACUGGGAUUCUUGAGUACCGGAGAGGAAAGCGGAAUUCCCCGUGUAGCGGUGAAAUGCGUAGAUAUGGGGAGGAACACCAGUGGCGAAGGCGGCUUUCUGGACGGUGUCUGACACUGAGGCGCGAAAGCCAGGGGAGCGAACGGGAUUAGAUACCCCAGUAGUCC